rnacentral:rRNA from 1 species
UCGCAUGGCACAGAGGGAAAAGGAGCAAUCCGCUUUGAGAUGGCCUCGCGUACGAUUAGCUAGUUGGUGAGGUAACGGCCCACCAAGGCGACGAUCGGUAGCCGGACUGAGAGGUUGAACGGCCACAUUGGGACUGAGACACGGCCCAGACUCCUACGGGAGGCAGCAGUGGGGAAUAUUGCACAAUGGGGGAAACCCUGAUGCAGCGACGCCGCGUGGAGGAAGAAGGUCUUCGGAUUGUAAACUCCUGUUGUUGAGGAAGAUAAUGACGGUACUCAACAAGGAAGUGACGGCUAACUACGUGCCAGCAGCCGCGGUAAAACGUAGGUCACAAGCGUUGUCCGGAAUUACUGGGUGUAAAGGGAGCGCAGGCGGGCAUCAAGUUGGGAGUGAAAUCCAUGGGCUCAACCCAUGAACUGCUUUCAAAACUGGUCGUCUUGAGUAGUGCAGAGGUAGGCGGAAUUCCCGGUGUAGCGGUGGAAUGCGUAGAUAUCGGGAGGAACACCAGUGGCGAAGGCGGCCUACUGGGCACCAACUGACGCUGAGGCUCGAAAGUGUGGGUAGCAUACAGGAUUAGAUACCCUGGUAGUCCACACCGUAAACGAUGAUUACUAGGUGUUGGGAGAUUGACCCUCUCAGUGCCGCAGUUAACACAAUAAGUAAUCCACCUGGGGAGUACGACCGCAAGGUUGAAACUCAAAGGAAUUGACGGGGGCCCGCACAAGCAGUGGAGUAUGUGGUUUAAUUCGACGCAACGCGAAGAACCUUACCAAGUCUUGACAUCCCUUGACGAUGCUGGAAACAGUAUUUCUCUUCGGAGCAAGGAGACAGGUGGUGCAUGGUUGUCGUCAGCUCGUGUCGUGAGAUGUUGGGUUAAGUCCCGCAACGAGCGCAACCCUUAUGGUCAGUUACUACGCAAGAGGACUCUGGCCAGACUGCCGUUGACAAAACGGAGGAAGGUGGGGAUGACGUCAAAUCAUCAUGCCCUUUAUGACUUGGGCUACACACGUACUACAAUGGCGUUAAACAAAGAGAAGCAAGACCGCGAGGUGGAGCAAAACUCAGAAACAACGUCCCAGUUCGGACUGCAGGCUGCAACUCGCCUGCACGAAGUCGGAAUUGCUAGUAAUCGUGGAUCAGCAUGCCACGGUGAAUACGUUCCCGGGCCUUGUACACACCGCCCGUCACACCAUGAGAGCCGGGGGGACCCGAAGUCGGUAGUCUAACCGCAAGGAGGACGCCGCCGAAGGUAAAACUGGUGAUUGGGGUGAAGUCGGAACAAGGU